rnacentral:rRNA from 1 species
CGGGUUAAGUCCCAUAACGAGCGCAACCCUUAUCGUUAGUUGCCAGCGGGGUAAAUGCCGGGAACUCUAACGAAACUGCCGGUGUAAACCGUGAGGAAGGUGGGGAUGACGUCAAAUCAGCACGGCCCUUAUGUCCAGGGCUACACACGUGUUACGAUGGCCGGUACAGAGGGCAGCUACCUGGAGACAGGAUGCGAAUCUCCAAAGCCGGUCUCAGUUCGGAUCGGAGUCUGCAACUCGACUCCGUGAAGCUGGAUUCGCUAGUAAUCGCGCAUCAGCCAUGGCGCGGUGAAUACGUUCCCGGGCCUU